UUUCCUGUUCAACUACCAAGUUUUCUCCUAAUAAUAGAUUGUAGUGGUUAUGCUUAUGAGAUAGAUUAAAACUGCCAUGAUCUGAAGAGGGAGGACUUACUUGUGUCCUCCUAUAUGAAAUGGUUAAACAAAAAACA